GAAAAUAUGUUAAAUAAUGUACUUAAUUUUAAAUCAACACGUAUUUUUAUUAAAUGAUGAAAAAUCAAGAUAGCUUAAAAGAACAGCCGAUUUAUGUAAUAUUUUGUUGUAUGACAAAAAUGCGUGUAUACUUGGAGGGAAAAGCUGUGAUGAAAAGCAGUAAAUAGUUUAUUUCUUAUGUGUAAAAUAAAAGAAGGCAGUGUU
rnacentral:lncRNA from 1 species